rnacentral:rRNA from 1 species
UACGAAGGGGGCUAGCGUUGCUCGGAAUCACUGGGCGUAAAGGGUGCGUAGGCGGGUCUUUAAGUCAGGGGUGAAAUCCUGGAGCUCAACUCCAGAACUGCCUUUGAUACUGGCGAUCUCGAGUCCGGGAGAGGUGAGUGGAACUGCGAGUGUAGAGGUGAAAUUCGUAGAUAUUCGCAAGAACACCAGUGGCGAAGGCGGCUCACUGGCCCGUAACUGACGCUGAGGCACGAAAGCGUGGGGAGCAAACAGG